UGUGCUGGGAACAUUCCGGAGCGGUUACCCAUCCCCAGUGCGCGGGUACCCGCCCAGUUUGGUCUGGCGUCUCGCUGUCUGUGUCUGGCUGUCUGGUGUCUCGUUUUGUGAUUGGCUGACCGUUGAUCGGUCAGUCACGUGAUCGUAUCGGACGGUCAGGGCCGCGUCGUGCUGGCCGGUCGGUCGGGGGGAGUCGGUCGGUCACCGCUGAGCCAGCCGUCGGUAUGGUGCUGUUGCUAAAGUAAAAUAUACCGCACCCGGUUUAACAGAGUGUCUCAAGAUACAACAGUGGCGACGGGGAUGAGAUCCCACGGCAAGAUGAGUGAUUCAGAUGAGAGGAAGCCGGCAACAGGUAUCGCAACAAUGCACCAGCCCACGGUAUGUCUCACGUCCGCCAUUGGCGAAUUUGAUGAACGUCAAGGCACCUGGAGGGAUUACAUUGAACGAUUUGAGUUCUUUUGCGAGGCUCAGGGCAUUUCAGAGGAUGAUAGAAGGAGAGCACUUCUCUUGGCUGGUAUUGGGCAAACUGCGUAUCAAAGAGUCAAAACCAUUCUGGCACCCACCCGACCCUCUGAGAUGUCAUAUAGAGAUAUUGUCAUGGCCGUGCAAGAUCAUGUGGAUCCGAAGCAGUCUGUUAUCGUUAGCCGUUUCCGGUUCCAUCAAAAAUGUCAAGGAUCAGAACAGGGGAUAAAGGAGUUUGUGGCUGACUUGAAAGUCAUGGCCGAUCCAUGCGACUUUGGAUCAAGUAGAGAUGAUAUGUUACGCGACAGAUUUGUGUGUGGACUCGCUGAUCAGGCGUUGCAGAAGCGGUUGUUGACCGAGGAAGAUACUCUGACGUUCCAACAGGCGCAGCGGAUCGCACUGGCAGCAGAGACGGCGACGAAGAGCGCAAGACAGCUGGCUGCCCAGUCAUCCGAUCUAGCGGCGCAGGACGUUCACAGAGUUGGAUCUGCACGACAGGUGAAAGGGUCACCAUCCAAUCGGUGGUGAAGACUACAGGCGGCGACGACAGCCUUGAACUUCGGCGAAGCAGCGCCAGGCUUCGGACGUACACGGGUGAGCCCAUCCCGGUCGAAGGGGAGUUCAGUGCCGUCAUCCAUUACGGUGAGCAGCACCUGGAGCUUCCCGUCGUCGUGGUCGACACUGCAGGACCCAAUCUUCUGGGAAGGGACUGGAUGAAGUUCCUUCAGCUCGACUGGCAAACCAUCAAACAGGUCAGAGGUGAUCCUGGGCGGGGACAGUCAAUGGGUGCAGAGCUGCAGAAAAAGUACCGUGAUGUGUUUUCUGCUGAUCUAGGGUGCCUGAAAGACGUGGAGGUGAAGUUUGACGUCAAUGAGGAUGCAAAACCAUGUUUCUAUCGCCCACGGAACAUUCCCUAUGCCUUCAGGAAACGCGUGGAGGAGCAGCUGGACGCAGAGGUCGAGGCUGGGGUCCUCGAGCCAGUGCGCACUGCGGACUGGGCGUGCCAAAUCGUCCCGAUAGUGAAGCCCGACGCGUGAAAUGGAAAAGCUGCUGGCUGGCGUGCCAGGAGUCUUCAUCUUCCUCGACGACAUCCUGGUCUCUGGACGGGCUGAAGACGAGCUCGUGUCCCGUCUGGAGCAAGUGCUGCAACGACUCCAGGACUCCGGACUUCGGGGCGACGCCGCACGCAACGACCGGGGAGUCUCCUGGCAAGCUGCUCAUCGGAUACAAGCCGGUCACCAGGUUCGAUAAACUGAAGCCGGACCUUCAAGGCUGCAUCGGCGCCCAGUCUGGAGACUGCUGAGGAGCUGGAGCACGGUGGCGACAUCUGCGGCGCCGAUGUCCCCGAUCGUCUGGCCGGCCGUUCCGCUACUGCUCCCGCUGCUGCUGCGGAGCCGGCUGAACCGCCUGCUGAGCGUCUGGAGUCGGCCAUCGGCGGCGCCGCGUCGACCUCUCCUGCUCGGCCGUCGACACUGAGACGAGAUGAGAGCGCCGGUCGCGUCUUCCCGGAGCGUCACGUGCCAGACGCUGCGCUACAGCGAGUGGAGCCCGGUGUCGUCUCCUCUCGAUACUCCCCGCCGCGAUUCGACCGCGGCUCACUAUCUGGUGAACCAUCGCCGGAGCGUCCGUCCGUGAGCGCGAAUGUCCCCAGGCAGAUGGGCGUUGACGCUGACGCUCCACGACGAUACCCGCUUAGAAAUAGACGGCCUGUGGUGCGCUACUAGAGGUCAUAAUGUAUCUGUCGAAGUUGAUUUUGUUUAAUUGCAAGGCUAACUCUUGAUUUAAAUGGGAGGGUGUUGUGUGCUGGGAACAUUCCGGAGCGGUUACCCAUCCCCAGUGCGCGGGUACCCGCCCAGUUUGGUCUGGCGUCUCGCUGUCUGUGUCUGGCUGUCUGGUGUCUCGUUUUGUGAUUGGCUGACCGUUGAUCGGUCAGUCACGUGAUCGUAUCGGACGGUCAGGGCCGCGUCGUGCUGGCCGGUCGGUCGGGGGGAGUCGGUCGGUCACCGCUGAGCCAGCCGUCGGUAUGGUGCUGUUGCUAAAGUAAAAUAUACCGCACCCGGUUUAA
rnacentral:misc_RNA from 1 species